UACGUAGGCAGCAAGCGUUGUUCGGAGUUACUGGGCGUAAAGGGUGCGUAGGCGGUCCUAUAAGUAUGGUGUGAAAUCUCCCGGCUCAACUGGGAGGGUGCGCCGAAAACUGGAGUGCUCGAGUAUGGGAGAGGUAAGCGGAAUUCCUGGUGUAGCGGUGAAAUGCGUAGAUAUCAGGAGGAACACCUGCGGUGUAGACGGCUUACUGGACCAUGACUGACGCUGAGGCACGAAAGCGUGGGGAGCAAACAGG
rnacentral:rRNA from 1 species